rnacentral:lncRNA from 1 species
GCAGCCACUCCAUCAGCCAGCCAUGAAGUCUUUCCUUGACAAUGUCAUGCCCCACACUACACCUGAGCUGCAAAAAGGGCCAUCACCAAUAAAUGCUUUCAGCAACUUCCCUAUAGGCUUGAACUCAAACUUGAAUGUAAAUAUGGAUAUGAACAGUAUUAAAGAGCCACAGUCAAGACUAAGGAAGUGGACGACAGUGGACAGCAUUUCUGUGAACACAUCUUUGGAUCAAAACUCCAGCAAACAUGGUACAAAAGAUACAUCUUACCAAAAAAA